CCUACGGGUGGCAGCAGUAGGGAAUAUUGCUCAAUGGGGGAAACCCUGAAGCAGCAACGCCGCGUGGAGGAUGAAGGUUUUCGGAUUGUAAACUCCUUUUGUUAGAGAAGAGAAUUACGGUAUCUAACGAAUAAUCACCGGCUAACUCCGUGCCAGCAGCCGCGGUAAUACGGAGGGGGCAAGCGUUAUCCGGAAUCACGGGGCGUAAAGGGCGCGUAGGCGGGAUAGCAAGUCAGAUGUGAAAUCCUUUGGCUUAACCGUAGAACUGCAUUUGAAACUGUUAUUCUAGAGUUUGGGAGAGGUAGGUGGAAUUCUUGGUGUAGAGGUGAAAUCCGUAGAGAUCAGGAGGAAUACUCAUUGCGAAGGCGACCUGCUAGAACAUAACUGACGCUGAUGCGCGAAAGCGUGGGGAGCAAACAGGAUUAGAUACCCUAGUAGUC
rnacentral:rRNA from 1 species